rnacentral:rRNA from 1 species
UGGGGAAUAUUGGGCAAUGGGCGCAAGCCUGACCCAGCAACGCCGCGUGAGGGAAGAAGGUCUUCGGAUUGUAAACCUCUGUCCUUGGGGACGAAAAAAAUGACGGUACCCGAGGAGGAAGCUCCGGCUAACUACGUGCCAGCAGCCGCGGUAAUACGUAGGGAGCGAGCGUUGUCCGGAAUUACUGGGCGUAAAGGGUGCGUAGGCGGCAUGGCAAGUCAGAUGUGAAAUCCCCGGGCUUAACUCGGGAGUUGCAUUGGAAACUGCUGUGCUUGAGUGCAGGAGAGGAAAGCGGAAUUCCUAGUGUAGCGGUGAAAUGCGUAGAUAUUAGGAGGAACACCAGUGGCGAAGGCGGCUUUCUGGACUGUAACUGACGCUGAGGCACGAAAGCGUGGGGAGCAAACA